rnacentral:tRNA from 1 species
UACAUUAUAGUGUAUGAGGCACAAGAGUUUUUGAUUCUCUAGGAAAUAGUUUGAUUCUAUUAAAUGUAA